GCAACAGAAAUGAAUAGGGUGCUUACUAAACAUAGAAUCAUACACAGAAAAUUGGCCCAGUCCCUGCACAAUGAUGACAUGUAAAAUUGUGAGCAAUUAAUUAAAAAU
rnacentral:snRNA from 1 species